AUUAACCUUCAGGUUCAGGUUCAGUUUGGCUGUAGAGCUGAAUUGUAUUUUUUCUGUUGUCUUUUUGGUUGCGCAAAUACAACGUACAACGACAGCAACGCUGACAGCAGCAGUAACAGAAAACAGCAACAACGACACGACUCGCGUUUGUAUCUAAAAUCAACAAGUUCACGACGACACAGGCACAACAACCACCAGAACCACAACUACAGAAAGAUAAAAAACUUUUAAGCGUCAGGCAAAUAGACAAAAUGAUAC